AGUACGUUUUAAAUCAUAAUUUUAUAUUCGCAUCACAUUUAAGAGAUUUUGACAAACCCAACAAACGCCAUGAGUCAAGGGAAAAGAACUUGUAUUGAGGCAGAGCCAAUGAUAACAAGAAAGGAAACUAGAAUUGACUUUCAAAACCGCUUUUCAGAGAGCAAGAAAUAUAUACAAAAUAUUGCAGACGUAUCGCUUAUGAUGGCAAACAUUUCACAGUUGCGAGCAGUUUUGGGCUUUGGCGAGACAAAUACCUUUUACAUUCAUCUCCUGACACUAAUUAGUGUUUCACUAGUGUCACACACAUUUUUCGUUUUUGUCAGUGUAAUAAGAGGGCAUUUUAUUAAGAAGCAUCACAUUGCUUUGGUUCGAGCACAAAAGAACCAAGAGAAGAUACCAAUAUUAACUACUGUAGUAGAGACUACCUCCCCUAUUAAUGACGAGUCCAAUAUUACAUGUGAUCAUGAUAACAACCAACCUAUUAAACAAGGAAUUACAUGCGCCAAUAAGCAAAUAAGUGAGCCAGCAACUGAACAAGG